UACGGAGGGUGCAAGCGUUAUCCGGAUUCACUGGGUUUAAAGGGUGCGUAGGUGGCGCCGUAAGUCAGGUGUGAAAUUUCGGAGCUUAACUCCGAAACUGCAUUUGAUACUGCGGUGCUUGAGGACUGGAGAGGAGACUGGAAUUUACGGUGUAGCAGUGAAAUGCGUAGAGAUCGUAAGGAAGACCAGUGGCGAAGGCGGGUCUCUGGGCCGAUACUGACGCUGAGGAGCGAAAGCGUGGGGAGCGAACAGG
rnacentral:rRNA from 1 species